UACGUAGGGGGCUAGCGUUGUCCGGAAUCAUUGGGCGUAAAGCGCGUGUAGGCGGUUCGGUAAGUCCGCUGUGAAAGUCGGGGGCUCAACCCUCGAAAGCCGGUGGAUACUGUCGGACUAGAGUGCGGAAGAGGCGAGUGGAAUUCCUGGUGUAGCGGUGAAAUGCGCAGAUAUCAGGAGGAACACCGGUGGCGAAGGCGGGUCUCUGGGCAACAACUGACGCUGAGGAGCGAAAGCGUGGGGAGCGAACAGG
rnacentral:rRNA from 1 species